rnacentral:rRNA from 1 species
AACGAACGCUGGCGGCAUGCCUAACACAUGCAAGUCGAACGAGACCUUCGGGUCUAGUGGCGCACGGGUGCGUAACGCGUGGGAACCUGCCCUUAGGUUCGGAAUAACUCCCCGAAAGGGGUGCUAAUACCGGAUAAUCUCUUCGGACCAAAGAUUUAUCGCCUUUGGAUGGGCCCGCGUUGGAUUAGCUAGUUGGUAGGGUAAAAGCCUGCCAAGACGACGAUCCAGAGCUGGUCUGAGAGGAUGAUCAGCCACACUGGGACUGAGACACGGCCCAGACUCCUACGAGAGGCAGCAGUGGGGAAUAUAGGACAGUGGGCGAAAGCCUGAUCCAGCACUGCCGCGUGAGUGAUGAAGGCCUUAGAGUUGUAAAGCUCUUUUACCCGAGAUGAUAAUGACAGUACCGGGAGAAUAAGCUCCGGCUAACUCCGU